rnacentral:rRNA from 1 species
GGAGGAAAAGAAACUAACAAGGAUUCCCCUAGUAACUGCGAGUGAAGCGGGAAAAGCUCAAAUUUAAAAUCUGGUAGUCUCUGGCUGCCCGAGUUGUAAUCUAGAGAAGCAUUAUCCGCGCUGGACCGUGUAUAAGUGUUCUGGAAUGAACCAUCAUAGAGGGUGAGAAUCCCGUCUUUGACACGGCUCCAGGGCUUUGUGAUGUGCUCUCAAAGAGUCGAGUUGUUUGGGAAUGCAGCUCUAAAUGGGUGGUAAAUUCCAUCUAAAGCUAAAUAUUGGCGAGAGACCGAUAGCGAACAAGUACCGUGAGGGAAAGAUGAAAAGAACUUUGGAAAGAGAGUUAAACAGUACGUGAAAUUGCUGAAAGGGAAACGCUUGAAGUCAGUCGCGUUGGCUGGGGAUCAACCUUGCUUUUGCUUGGCUUACUUCCCAGUCGACGGGUCAGCAUCAGUUUUGACCGGUGGAUAAAGGCUAGGGGAAUGUGGCACCUACGGGUGUGUUAUAGCCCUUGGUCAUAUACACUGGUUGGGACUGA